AUUGAACGCUGGCGGCAGGCCUAACACAUGCAAGUCGAGCGGAUGAAGGGAGCUUGCUCCUGGAUUCAGCGGCGGACGGGUGAGUAAUGCCUAGGAAUCUGCCUGGUAGUGGGGGAUAACGUCCGGAAACGGGCGCUAAUACCGCAUACGUCCUGAGGGCGACAGUGGGGGAUCUUCGGACCUCACGCUAUCAGAUGAGCCUAGGUCGGAUUAGCUAGUUGGUGGGGUAAAGGCCUACCAAGGCGACGAUCCGUAACUGGUCUGAGAGGAUGAUCAGUCACACGGGAACUGAGACACGGUCCAGACUCCUACGGGAGGCAGCAGUGGGGAAUAUUGGACGAUGGGCGAAAGCCUGAUCCAGCCAUGCCGCGUGUGUGAAGAAGGUCUUCGGAUUGUAAAGCACUUUAAGUUGGGAGGAAGGGCAGUAAGUUAAUACCUUGCUGUUUUGACGCUACCAACAGAAUAAGCACCGGCUAACUUCGUG
rnacentral:rRNA from 1 species